CCCCGCAGCCCCGCAGCCCCGCAGCCGCGUUCCGGCCGGUGAGGCUCGCUGAGGGGGUGAGGGAGCGGGACGCGGGGCGCUUCAGGCAGAGUUCCCGCUCAGGGGGCCCGUGGAGCUGAGCGGCUCCGGCGGUCAUGAUGUUCAGCAGACGGGUUUAAUUUUCCAGCCUUCCCCCCGUCCCAGUUUUAUUUUAACUUUUUUAGGCCAUCGCAGGUUUGUUCAGCUUGGAGAGGAGGACACUGAGACGGGACCUCGUGGCAGCUGCAGGUUCCUCAGCAGGAGCAGGAGGGGCAGGCUACCUGCAAAGUCAAGAAAAGAAGAGAUCCGUAAUUCUCCAUAAUUAAUUUUAUUAAAAAUAUGAUUGGAAGAGAGUUGGACAACACUAGCUCACCAUUAGAACUACCUGGAGGAAAGCAGGAAUCAGGAGAAGAUUUGCAAACCUGUAUCUCAAACUGCAGAGAUCAGAAGGCAAGAAUGCAUGAAACACAGUUAAAAUAGCUGUGUUGGAAAGAACUUGCAUCAUUUCCAAGGUCUGAGGCAUUACAAUUGAAGAUAAUGAGUUCACAUAUUGGGAUUGGUUAUGUUUAGGUGAUGAAUGCAGCAUCUGCUGGGUCACUGAUCUGCAGGAACAAGAGCAUCGAAUUUUCUCCUCCCGGGGGUGCUCAGAGCUGGCGUGCCCUCCCCAGCGAGUUCUCUGCCUGCAGCGCUGCUGCCCGUUUGCCCAUCCCCACCACAGAAUGAAGAAAACAAGCAUGCAUUUCUAGAGGGGUACUUGUUAAAAAAGGCGGGUUCUCCGUGGAUGGAGGAGAUGUCUAUUGCAGUGACUGAAGGACUCUGCUGCCUGACCCAUACGUAAGUCGAGACUUUACAAAAUAAUGUUGCGUGGGCUGACUUGCACUGGCACAUUUUUACCACAUAAAGCCCAAGAGACCUUCCCAAGGGGCUGUGCUGCUCCCCCUGGGCUGGCAGGAGACAAGACAUUGUGCACCUGCUUUUUGGAGAACUUACCUUGGACUCAUCACUACACAAACUGCAAUUUCAGAGCUUCCACGAGCUGGAGUGCAGGUGGAGAGCACCAUAUAGCCAUAGUGUAAGAAAUCUGGGCAAAUGAUUGAACUGGAGUCAGAAAUACAAGCUUUGCUACUCCACCAUUUCCAUGAGUAGCAUGGGAGUAACAGUGUUGUGCUAAGUUACAGCAUUUCUCUAAGGGUGAAGAAUUCUAAAGUAUUCCCAUAGGGUGGCUUUGAAAAGUGCUGGAUAAAUCCAGUCAAUCAAAAGACCGUGUGACCUUUUCCAGAAAUCCUUAUCACAGCAGUUAGAAAAUGAAGAGGGUUGUUUAAUUGAAGUGCUGAUAUUAUUCAUUAGCCAGAAUUUGUUUGUGGCUCAAAGUUAGCAUACUCUGUUAAAACAAACAAACAAACAUGGGAUUUGUAAAGUGAAAUGCUACUUAAUGACUUAGUAUUGCUGAAAUUAGGAAGGCUGUUUCUUGAAUCCUGGGUCACUGUCCUCGCUCUACCAGGUUGAUGUCUUGUCUGAAAUGGCAUAUGGAAAAUUUUCUUCAUAGUGUAUAUUCAGGACUCAUCUGUUGUGUGAUCUGAAUAAUCUUCUGUCCAUCCAUCAUCUACAGUACUGAAAAGAAACUAAACGGCAGCAUUUUGUGAUGAACCGGGCAAGAUGGGAAAGAAACUAUAUUUUCACUUUCAUCUGCCAAGCCGUGUGACUGAUGGAGAAGAGUGAGUUCUGAAUGCUGAGCCGAUACCACGUGCAGGGCUGAGCUGUUUGCAAGAGUGUUACAGAAUUGUUUAUAGCAGCUAAACCUUGGAAGACAAAUCCCCAGUACUUUUUGAGGGACCAGCCGCACUUCUGAAGUAAUGCAUUGCAAAUUAUUUUUAGCCAAGUUCCUAUGUGGGUUUACUGACUUUUGUGAAGGAUGUAGAUAUGUAUUUGGAUUUGGGGUAAUAACAGCAGUAAAAUCAAGCAUUUACUUUUUUACCUGCCAGAUAUAAUCAAAUUAAAUUCUAUCAUGAUUACAAGCAAAACAAAAGUGUGACAUAAGUAGCUAUGAUUUUUUGUAUGCCAUCUUUCGAAACAUAAAUAUGCUGCUUGGAGACAGGCCUGGGAGAAGAUGCAGAAUGAGUAUUUUACUUCCUAAGUGAUGCUGUUUUUCCUUUAUAAAGUACCAAUUAGGAUGUCAGCACAUGGUUUUGCUCUUUGAACGUGGAAAAUAUAACACUUAACGCUGGGGAUUUAAGAUCUUAAUUCAGCUCCUCGUGUAUAAUUUGGAAUACAGUCUAAUGACACGAUCGCACUUGCUUUCUCUUGCUCUCUCACGCGCUUUCUUCUUCUCCACCUCGCUGAGACAGCUUGGGCAGGGUGAGUCAGAGCUGUUCAGUAAACAGAGACUGUUACAUUUCCCCUUUCUGUGCUAAAAAAAUAGUUAUACCACCCAUGUCUACACAGACAUCUUUUGGAAAUUGUAGAAGUUGUUUUCAAGAGGAUCCUAAGCCUGCUAUAAUAGGCCAGCUGCUGGAAAACACUGAGAGCUGAAAAAAAGACUGCCUGGACAGACUGCUAAAAACGUUAGCAAAAUGAAGAAACCUGGAAACUUGCUGCAGUUCUUCUCUGGUGGGAAGACAGCCUUGGCUACGUCUGCAUCCACCUGCUGGAUGAGAAGCCACGCUUUGUCAGCACCGAGGAAUGGAGCUACCAAUUUAGCCGUUAAACACAGCGUUUUGGACACAGGUAUCUCCCUUGGUUCCAGGCAGUCACGGAGGAGUGGUCGGUCACCAGCUAAGAACUAGAGUGCUCCUGGAAAGGAGGCCACAAAUGUGCCUGGGUUUUGUUAGGAUUUUGAAUUUUCGAACAGAACCGAGGUGCCUGAAGUAAGUCUCUUGCGUCGAAGUGUACAGGUUACCCUUUAAUGAUCGCUUCGUAAUGACUGAGAAGCCAGUGGAGGAGAAUAUUCAGGUACGUGGGCACACGUGCACAAGAGCAGCGACUCCCAAAAGGGUCUGAGCCGCCCCCGGGGCUGCUCCAUCCUUUGCUCCGGCAGCUCCCCAGCGCUGCCUCCCCGCGUGUUUCGCUCUUUUGCACGUCCUGGGAUUUCUGCAGUUAUAUUGUUUGUCUUAUUUUCUGUUUCCCCUGUCAUCCCCAUCUCACAGACCCACAGGGCUGCUUCUCUUUCCCAGCAGAGCCCAUAGGACAGACCUGUCUGACCUGACCGUACCUCACCAGCUGCGACAUGCAAUAGCAGAAUGUGCAGUUAAAACACAGAGUCUACUAGUUUCCAGCUUGUCAUUAAUUCUCUAAUUUGGAGGAUUCCCUUUUCUCUUUAACUGUGCAUUUUGGAUACAAAAUUAAUUCGAAUGUCACUUAAAGCAAGGGUAGUUUUAAGUAAAUCAGUUUGCCGUCAAUGCCAGUAAGCUUCCCACUGAAAAGCUUCUUGUUUGUGUGCUUGUGGUUUUUGCUUCUCCCAUAGGCCCUUGUGCAGACAGAUAUACUGGGGAAGCCACCUACUGGAGGUCAACUUUGAAAUGUUUUAAAAUAGUAAAAUCUGCUGUAAGAAUUAUUUCCAAUAACCUUCAUGUAUUUGUUCAUAUUUGCUAAAUUUUUUGCAAUGGAGGUUUUUGGAUUAUCGGUUUGAUAAUGGAUUUUCACAGCACUUCCAGAUUAUUAUCAAAUGUCUCCCAACAAUCACUUGUUUGAACAUUGUUUUGGCUUCCUCUGCCGAUCCCUUUAUCUCUGUGCCUAAAACACGAUAGCAAUGGAGCAGACAAAUUGCUAGCUAGCACAAUUAAUAUAUUACAAAUGAUACUCUACUAAUGUAUUUUGUAGAUAUACUGGAAAUCUCAUCUGUUUGGGCUACGGUAGAUUAGUUGCUUAGUAAAACAGAACUGCAGUCUUGAGGAAUACACAAAAUAGAUGGCUGAAAAUCUAGGCAUUAAUACAGUUACACUGAAUGCAUCAUGUACUAGUGGACAACUCAACCUAACUGCUGUAGUAACCCAUGUCCAUGUAUCACAUCUGCGUGAUAUGGGUCACAGAAUCACAGAAUCCCAGAAUGUCAGGGGUUGAAGCGCCCUGGAAAGCUCAUCCAGUGCAAUCCCCCCAUGGAGCAGGAACACCCAGAUGAGGUUACACAGGAAGGUGUCCAGGUGGGUUGGAAUGUCUGCACAGAAGGAGACUCCACAACCCCCCUGGGCAGCCUGGGCCAGGCUCUGCCACCCUCACCAGGAACAAGUUUCUUCUCAUCUUCCAGUGGAACCUCCUGUGUUCCAGUUUGCACCCAUUGCCCCUUGUCCUGUCACUGGUUGUCACCAGAAGAGCCUGGCUCCAUCCUCCUGACACUCCCCCUUUCCAUAUUGAUCCCCAGGAAUGAGUCCCCCCUCAGUCUCCUCUUGUCCAGCUCCAGAGCCCCAGCUCCCUCAGCCUUUCCUCACACGGGAGAUGCUCCACUCCCUUCAGCAUCUUGGUGGCUGCGCUGGACUCUCUCCAGCAGUUCCCUGUCCUGCUGGAACUGAGGGGCCACAGCUGGACACAAUAUUCCAGGUGUGGUCUCCCCAGGGCAGAGCAGAGGGGCAGGAGAACCACUCUGACCUACUGACCACCCCCUUCUAACCCACCCCAGGUACCAUUGGCUUCCUGGCCACAAGGGCCCAGUGCUGGCUCAUGGUCACCCUGCUGUCCCCAGGACCCCCAGGUCCCUUUCCACUACACUGCUCUCUAGCACAUCUUCAUGAUCCAAACAAACGAAUUAUAACUCAUGUUAAUAGGGCAGAUAUCAUGGCUGAUUUAAAUUGUUGUCUGUUGAAAUGAUGGAAUACUUCUCUUUAUGAAUAGUUGAUUCUGAUUUUUCUGAAAACCAAAGCACAGUUAUUUUUAUCUUUUUCACGGUGUCCUUGUCUUGCAGAGUUCUUAAUGGCCUUGGCAUUUAGCAGGACUUGAUCUGAAUGAGAGAACACCUGUGCCCUGGCAUACAGUUAAGGUGUCCCUGUAUUCUGCUCCCAGAUAGUGAUUUUCACGCAUGUCUUGAAUACCAUAAAACUGCCCAAUCUGUACUCAUCAGCUUGACGUUACAAAAUGAACACUGUCGGUGUUAACGGUUGGACCUGAUGAUCUUGCUAUCACCAAGCUGAAGAAGACUCACAAGAAACCUUGGGGUUUUUUUGUCAAAAGUUUUAUCCUCUUGGAAUUCAAAAACUUAGCUAAAAAUUUGUUUCUUGACUUGAUAAAGACUUGCCAAGUGACAAAGCAUGACUUUAUAUGGUAAAAGUAGUGAUAUUUUUAACGUCUUUAUUUUUCCCCAAGAGUAUUGGAUUGUACUGCAAAAACCAGUGAGCACUGGUGCUCACACUUAGUGUGUGUGGAUACAAAGGCGAAUGAUCACCGUGACUGUGACUGAUGACAGUGACUGAUGCUGCCCCUCGCUGAUCGCUCCACUGCUUCUCCUUUGUGAGUGAAGAAAAUCUACAAAUGAAUGGAUUUAAAACACGCUUGUGAUUGUAAGAGGCAAAGCAAUAAACUACGUGUUUCCGAAGUUCGUAUACAGUGAGGACUAUGGUUUCAAAAGAGUUUCUUCUGAUAUAAGAAGAAAGACACAAGAAAUACAGCAGGUCAUGCCGGCGUACCACAUUUAUGGCUGCAUUGCUCUAGAAGUACGAUGCCAAUUGUAGCCUGUCUGCUUCUGCUACAGCUUAUUCUCACGUCCCACGGAGAAUUUGUGGAACUCCCUGUCACAUCUCAGCGAGUGUUACCCACGACACCACUAGGCCUGUUCUGCACCACGAGCUCACCCACGGUCAGAGCUCGCAGAGGCAGCAGUCCAGUCUCUAAGUGAUGAUCUAUUAAACAAAUCCUCAUGGGUUUUCUCCGUAAGAUUCAACGAGCAGAUGAGCAGAGGGAUGUGAUACCGAACAUGGGGCUGUUUUGUUCUUUUCUGGAGUACUUUGUGGUUUCGGAUUUCUCAGCAAUACAGAACUGUUUGGUGUGCUUAGAAAAUGUGAAACUACCAAAGGCCAGAUGAAUAUUGCCUGAACUGAUGUAAAUAAAACAGAGAGCCCUUCUGUCUUAACACACUUACUUAACAAUUCCGUGUAGCACCCUGCAAAUAUUUUCAGUUAGCAUUUCAAGUUCCUGUUACUUUUUUUGUGAACUUGUAAAUUAAAAGACUUCCCAACAUGAUUCAAAACAUAUGCAGGGAGGUAUAUCAGAAGAAACUUAAUACCAAGGGAGCAGUCUAGGUGAUAGAAAUCUAGACAUUUAAAAGGCCAUCUGACAAAAACCAAUUCUAGUUAAUUUGUGUUCUCUGUUAAUGUUCACAAAUCAAAACAUGAGAGCCCAGAUUUGGGAAGGGAAGUUCAAGCUGGGUUUGUGUCCUUUCUCAAGCAACAACUGAGGCGGUUACUCCUCGGUGUGCCUGUUUCUGUCACAUCUUCAUAUGGUUUAGCUGCACUUCUGCCACCUUGGACAACAAAGCGCAGGGAAGAUCAGAAAUGGAAAGCUGACAUGUUUUUGCAGUGGGAGGUCGGGGAGGAUUCGGUGAGGCUGUCUGAUGGGACCGGGUGCGAGCGGGGCUGCUGCAGCGGGCGGGCGGACACCGGGGAGAACCGGCUGUGGCGCCUCCGGACAAGUGGGAGCUGGAAAAUUUGAUAUACAUUUCAUAUAAGCAGCACGAAUGUCAGAAUAUAGAGAGGGAUUAGCUUUUAAAGAAAUGUGUCAGAGGUGAAACGUGAAUUUGAAAUCUGGACAUUUAGAAAUGUGUAACACUUAGUGAAUUCAGCAAAUCCAUUUCCACACAAACAUUUCUUUCACACUAACAGCACUGACGCAAGUGACUCCUUUAAUGUUCAUGAAUCUUAGACUAAUGUGAUUACUGCAGCUAUCCUACCAGUUGGUAAAUGUCUUUUAAGGAAGAAAAAUAUUUAAAAACCAAGCUACAAAUAAAGCAUGGAAAAGGGUGUAUAAUGAUAUUACCAACACUGUGUCUGCUUAGUGGCUCAGAUACGCCAUUAAAGAUGGGUGACAUUGUAUGUCACCUUAAUAUACUCUGUAACAUCCAUGGCACAUAGUGAAUAUCCACUUCAGCCCAUAUGUCUGUUUUAUUUUCUUUAUGUGUAUGUAUUCUUUUUAUCUCUGUAACAAAUAAGUGCCAUAUUUCUAUGGAGUUUGUAAGAAGAUUUUUGAUGACCUGCUAGCAGGGGUCUCGAUAAAUUAUGAGGCUUUAAAAAAGCCUUGUGAUGCUGGUCUCCGUGACAUAUGCUACAGUCCAGAAGAGUAUUUUGUGUGUAUGACUUAUUUUCAGCACAGAGAUUCUGUUUAACAUUUGUAAUGAAAACAGACCUAAGUGUCUGCCACUCCAGACCUGGUUCCGCUGUUGUUUGCCAGUGGUGUUCCUGCCCCUCAGAUCCGGAUUGUUCCCAUUUCACAGGAUCCCAGAAUGUCAGGGGUUGAAGGGCCCUGGAAAGCUCAUCCAGUGCAAUCCCCCCAUGGAGCAGGAACACCCAGAUGAGGUUACACAGGAAGGUGUCCAGGCGGGUUGGAAUGUCUGCACAGAAGGAGACUCCACAACCUCCCUGGGCAGCCUGGGCCAGGCUCUGGCACCCUCACCAGGAACAAGUUUCUUCUCAUCUUUCAGUGGAACCUCCUGUGUUCCAGUUUGCACCCAUUGCCCCUUGUCCUGUCACUGGUUGUCACCAGAAGAGCCUGGCUCCAUCCUCCUGACACUCCCCCUUUAGAUAUCUGUAAACAUGAAUGAGGUCGCUCCUCAGUCUCCUCUUCUCCAAGCUAAAAAGACCCAGCUCCCUCAGCCUUUUUGGCAGGUCAGUGGUGGGGAAAUGUGUACAUUUGCUUUUCGAGGGUGACGGCUGCUCCUGCACCUUCCCCGGCACAGCAGCCGCUGGUUUCCUUCCCACCGAACGGGGUGCACAGACCUGGACCCAGCGCUGAACUGAACGCUUGGCAUGAGUGGACACACGCCAAACACAAGUCACUCACAUAACGAAACCUUUUUUCCUAAGGAUGUCACAUGGCACAAGUCCAUGUGGCUUAGAACAUGCACUAGCACACAAAAUGCAGAGAAAAUGCUUCCCAUUUGUAUUCUCUGUUGCUGUAUGUACAGUAUGAUGUGCAGCAUACAGGCUGAAAUUACAUUUAAUGGAGAAAAAAUGACUAAUGACAUUUUGGUAGACUUGCAUAUUUUUGUAGACGAAUAGCUGAUUAAAUGACAUAUUGAAUAUUUUUCAUUAAAAUGUGUUGGAUUCAAUUGGCUCAAGUGACAGAUAUCCCCAGUUUCUAGCAUGUGUAACUGGACUCUUUUAGUUUCACCACAUAGAAUUAUCUGAAAGUUACUUCUUUAAAAUGGUAAUAUAAUUUUAAGUGGCAUUUGACCAGCUUCAAGUUUAGUUUCACAUUAUAAUAGCAAAAGAAUAUGAAAUCAAAUCAUACUGGCACUAACCUGCCUGUAAAUGCCUCUUAUUAUUAUCCUUUUUUAACAUGAAUCCUUCUGUAGUUACUUCUGUGUUACUACCGGAGUGUAGCUGUGCUAAGCCAUGACAACGUGUGCUGGUUCGGAUGCUUCAUCCUUUAUUUUUUCUCUGAUAUUCUCUCAGUUUGCCAGCACAACUAAUCCCCAGGAAUUUGAUUUUCAUUCUUUUUUUCAUUGUGAUAUCAGUGUUAGGAAACAAAACUGGAUUUUAAAUUGCUGUUGUACUCUGGCAUGACAUUGAGUCUUUUUGUCACUUAACGUACAAGCAGUUCAGUAUUCUCACUUCCUAACAGACGUAAUCAUGUUGAAUUAUCUCACAGUUGUGUCAUGAGUCGAAGUAUCAUGAAUAUCAUUAGGUUGGACAAAAAGCGCUGUUCUCUUUCAGGUACAGUUUUACGUACCAUUAAACAGAGCAAGCUCCCUCUAAUAUUCUACUGAUACUCCUUGAACUAAGUUUCCCGAUGCCAGGAACAACAUGGAGAACUCUGCUUCUCGUUGUGUUCUGCACUAGGGACCGAGGUCUUUGAGACUUGGACCAAAUUCAGUUGGCUGUUGCCUUUGUGCAGUUUUGGAUUGAUAAGGUGGUUACAGGACGUUUUUAUAAAAAUCUCUGAAGUCUAGCAUUUGAGGACGAUUGAUCUGUAGUUUUUAAAACUGUAGUCAGUGCUGUGGUAAUGUAAAGAGGUAAAAAGAAAAGAAAAAAAAACACAAAUAAAAGACGCCAAACCCAAACCACCCCACAAAAACCAACCAAAAAGGAAGCACGAAUUUCUGAGAAGAUGCUUACAGAGAGCAGACGGUGCAUUCAAAGUGAAUCAAGUGUGUAAACUAGGAAAUACCUUCUCUCCUGGCACUGUAUGGAGCAGUAACAGGUGAACGAGGGCUCUGCGACUUAUCCAAACAUCUCACAGCCUGUGAAACAGGAACGUGCAGCUGUAUCAGACAGUCCUGGCUGCAGUUACAAUUAGAAUCAGUCCAUAUAAUAAUUUAAGGAAUUGCUUGCAUGGGCUGAGGAUGCACACAAAAGUACUAUGGGUGGGAAUUGGGUGUCAUCAAGCAGAGAAUGGAAGUUUUCCACACAACUAUGUUAAAAAGGAUAGAUCUGGCUUCACUGAAAUUUGAGCAGCCUGCCCACUCUGUUUAAUCGGUUUAUAUUUCAUUUUGUAGUAACAGAUCCUGGCACUCACGUUGCUCCCUAUCACUUGUUUGUUUCAUUAUGUUCAUAGCAAAGAGCACUGAGGAGAGAUUUCAGCCCUGUCACAGAGACCUGGGUGGUACUUUAGUUAACGUGCCCAGCCACGUGUAAUACCGCCCAACCUGCUGUGCUCCGUGUGGCUCCGCAAUCAUUCGACAUGUUCCUCAGUCUUGUAAUUGUAUCGUCUUUGCACGCGCAGUAUCAGUGGAAACGGCACACGUGCCCUUCCUGUGGUGAAGCGCAGUGUUCUAACGCUGUCUGCAAGUGACUUGCUUCUGUGUCAUGUGUUGUACGUGAUCAAACUUGCGUUAUCGUGCUUACAUACAAGCUUUUCAGAAAUACGAAUAGCCCCGAGGUAUCCUAACACUGACAGAAAAUGAUUCUCUGUAGAUCCCACUAGAUCUAAACGUAUAGAGAUGUAAGCGCAGCUCCACAGCUUGUCCAGCACGCAAGCUGCAGGCUGCUGGAGUGACAGGGACAUUCCACCCGCAGUCAUAGCCCGGCGUUGUUCUUAUGCACAUUUUCUGUGCCCUCCAUAGAAAAAGCUGUGUCUGUACGUGGCUGUAUUUUGCAUAUCUGUAUUUUGCCUCAGCAGAGCGAACAUUUGGCGCUCUACGGUCUUUAAAAUGUCAGCAUCUUCUAACGCUCUUAAUAUUUUACUUAAUUUUCUGAUAAUAUCAUGAAUGCUUCUAAAUUCCGUGAUUCAUUAAAAAAUCCAUGCAGUUAUAUGUUUGAACGUGUGAGCUUCAAACUGUGCAAGCGUUAGUGCCGGGAAAGCGUUACCAGACCUCUGAAGGGAAUUGCUGCAUGAACGGGCCGUGUGUGAUCUUAGAGCACCUGUUACAUGUGGUACAGCCUGUAAAGAUCAAUUGCAAAAUGAUUUGUAAUUAUCUGCCUCUUGGAUAAACGUGUAUGUUGUACAAUAAA